rnacentral:rRNA from 1 species
AGUGAACGCUGGCGGUAGGCCUAACACAUGCAAGUCGAACGGCAGCACAGGAGAGCUUGCUCUCUGGGUGGCGAGUGGCGGACGGGUGAGGAAUACAUCGGAAUCUACUUUUUCGUGGGGGAUAACGUAGGGAAACUUACGCUAAUACCGCAUACGACCUACGGGUGAAAGCAGGGGACCUUCGGGCCUUGCGCGAUUGAAUGAGCCGAUGUCGGAUUAGCUAGUUGGCGGGGUAAAGGCCCACCAAGGCGACGAUCCGUAGCUGGUCUGAGAGGAUGAUCAGCCAAACUGGAACUGAGACACGGUCCAGACUCCUACGGGAGGCAGCAGUGGGGAAUAUUGGACAAUGGGCGCAAGCCUGAUCCAGCCAUACCGCGUGGGUGAAGAAGGCCUUCGGGUUGUAAAGCCCUUUUGUUGGGAAAGAAAUCCAGCUGGCUAAUACCCGGUUGGGAUGACGGUACCCAAAGAAUAAGCACCGGCUAACUUCGUGCCAGCAGCAGCCGCGG